AUCAGCUAUAUCGGUGGAUCACUUGGCUCGUAGAUCGAUGAAGAACGCAGUGAAUUGCGUUAAGAAUCUCGAAUUACAGAUAUUAUGAGAGACAUAUUUUCGAUUGCAUAUUGCAUCGUUGGGCAUUUGCUCAUCGAUAUACCCGACUCAGGGUGUGUAUC
rnacentral:rRNA from 1 species